rnacentral:rRNA from 1 species
UACGGAGGGUCCAAGCGUUAUCCGGAAUCAUUGGGUUUAAAGGGUCCGUAGGCGGUUUUGUAAGUCAGUGGUGAAAGCCCAUGGCUCAACGGUGGAACGGCCAUUGAUACUGCAAGACUUGAAUUAUUGGGAAGUAACUAGAAUAUGUAGUGUAGCGGUGAAAUGCUUAGAGAUUACAUGGAAUACCAAUUGCGAAGGCAGGUUACUACUAAUGGAUUGACGCUGAUGGACGAAAGCGUGGGUAGCGAACAGG